GUCUGUUUGAUGUUAUAAAUGGUCUAACCUGCCCACUGAUAUAAUUAAAGGGCCGCGGUAAUUUAACCGUGCAAAGGUAGCAUAAUAAUUAGUCUUUUAAUUGAAGGCUUGAAUGAAUGGUUGAACAAAUAAAUAAUUGUCUCUUUUUUAAAUUUUGAAUUUAACUUUUAAGUGAAAAGGCUUAAAUAAUUCAAAGGGACGAUAAGACCCUAUAAAUCUUUAUGUAAAUAUUUGUUUUUGUUAAUAAGUUGUUUAAUAAUUUAAAAAUAAAUAUUGCAUUGUGUUGGGGAGACAGAAGUAUAAAUAGUGUAACUGCUUGUGUUUAAAUACUUAUAAUAUUUGUUUAUUUUUAAAGAUCCUUUUGAAGAUUUAAAGAAUAAGUUACUUUAGGGAUAACAGCGUUAUUUUUUUUGAGAGUUCUUAUCGAAAAAAAAGUUUGCGACCUCGAUGUUGAAUUAAAAUUUCUUUAUAAUGUAGCCGUUAUAGAAGAAGGUCUGUUCGACCUUUAAUAUUUUAC
rnacentral:rRNA from 1 species